UACGUAGGGGGCAAGCGUUAUCCGGAUUUACUGGGUGUAAAGGGGGCGCAGACGGCAGCGCAAGCCAGGAGUGAAAGCCCGGGGCCCAACCCCGGGACUGCUCUUGGAACUGCGCGGCUGGAGUGCAGGAGGGGCAGGCGGAAUUCCUGGUGUAGCGGUGAAAUGCGUAGAUAUCAGGAGGAACACCGGUGGCGAAGGCGGCCUGCUGGACUGCGACCGACGUUGAGGCCCGAAAGCGUGGGGAGCAAACAGG
rnacentral:rRNA from 1 species